ACAAGUUUAUUUCUCUGUGUUCUUCUUCCCCAAAAUAUCAAUCACCCAUCUUUUCUUUGUUCCCCAUCUCUACCGGCAGGUCAAAUCACUCUCAGACUCUCAACCCCAUCCCCUCAACUGAAAACACUUUCCCAAUUUCCUAACAAUUGUCGACAACAGACUCCCAAACCCUAAACCUGUUUCACCCAAAUUUUCUUUUUCAAAACCUAUUUCUCCAUCAAAUGUCAAUCAUCUGUACAAACAUCAACAACAAAGAGAUAGGAUGGCUUAGUCAGAGCUCAAGAGAAAAGAAAAGACGUUGAUUUAAUUAUUCUGCAAACAUCAACAGCAACAGCAAGCAAUUGACGGCAAAAGGAUGGCUUAGUCAGGAAAAGACAUGGAGACAAAAUCAAGCGGCGUUGUAAGGUAGUUGUGGCGACAACAGGCAGCAGGCAUGAUAAGCUAGGUCUGAAUUUGAUGUUUCUUCAAACACCAACACAAGCAGCAGGGAAUUGACAAGUGAGUACAAGCAGUUGAGGUCAUCAAAUUUUCUUAAUUCGACAACAUCAGACUGUUGUGAAGAAGGUGUAAUGACUGCCUGAGAAGGAAGACGACAUCAGUGGAAUAACAAUAAAAUCGGCUCUAGUGCGGAAAACGGAUAAAUUUGGGCUAGUGCACAAAACAUAUGGACUCGGGAGUAAAUGGGUCCGCGGCUAAUGGAGUUAGAUUGGGUUGGACAGUAGACCGAGUGUAAUGGGCUUAUCCAAAAAAUCCUGAGAGAGUGCCGACGAACAUAAUGAGUAAGAAAAUGUAGUGUUUGGACACAAGGCAACUAUGUUGGAUCAAGGAAAUCAAAUCCACUUUUGGAAUUAUAUAAUAUGGCAUUACAUGAAAUAUGGAGGGAAAUGAAACUUUUGAUUUUCCUAUAACACGUCAUGGUCAUGAUGCAGAUUUAUUCUAUCAAGGAAUUACACUUUUGGAAGUAAAAUUAUAUCAUGUGAAAGUGGAAAUUCGGUGGAAAUAUGGUAUUACAAGUAUGGGAAGUUGAAUGGACAUAUGGCAUAUGCUUUUGAAGUAAGUAAGGUGGAGGUGGAAGAGAACUUUGGUUUAAUUAAAAUGUGAGAUUCUCUGGAACAUGGAAAGUUAGUGCUUUCUUAUUUCGAGGGAAGCAACGUUGGGAGAGAUGAGAUGGAGCAUUUCCAUUGGGUGGUCUUAUUAUUGCUAAACAAAUGUCACAUAUUUAUUGGAUGGUGCACGUGGUAAAUAUAAUGGAAAGAGGAAAUUUAGGUUCAUUUGAUACCUAUAUAUAUGUUGCCGAGAACAAAUAAAGGGAGGGGAGACGGAGCCGAGAGCCGGUACCGACCAACAAUGGUUUUUAUUCUUUUAUUAUUAUUCGUGUUCUUUUUUUUGUUGUGAUAAUGAGGCUCUAAACCAAACAAUGGGACAAUGAAAAAAGCUAUUUUUCAUGAUUGUGGUAAUUAUAUUCAAUUUAAUUAUGAUUUUUGCA